UACAGAGGUCCCAAGCGUUGUUCGGAUUUACUGGGCGUAAAGGGUGCGUAGGUGGCGAGGUAAGUUCGAUGUGAAAUCUCCGAGCUCAACUCGGAAAUGGCAUUGAAUACUAUCCCGCUUGAGGGUCGGAGGGGAGACUGGAAUUCUCGGUGUAGCGGUGAAAUGCGUAGAUAUCCGGAGGAACACCGGUGGCGAAGGCGGCUUCCUGGACCGACACUGACGCUGAGGCGCGAAAGCGUGGGGAGCAAACGGG
rnacentral:rRNA from 1 species